AAGAGAAAAAUAGCCCCACGCAGCCUCCCGAACCCAUCCUAAACAAAAAACAUCAUCCCCAACCCACGCGACCAUUAUCCCCUCCCAGAGCGCCGCCGGCCGGUCCCUCCCCCAGCGCGCCGCCGGCCGGCCCCAUCUCCCCUAUGCGCCGCCGGCCGACAGCCCGUCUACCCCAGUGCGCCACCACCGCCCCCUCUCCUAAUGCGCUGCCGCCGACCCCCUCUUCCCCAGCGCGCCGCCGCCGGCCCCCUCUCCCAUAGCGUGCUGCCAAGGGCUCCAUCUACAACCACUACGACCGCCGCCUGUCCCCAUUUUCUCGCCGUGCCACAACGCCCUGGACGGCGCACCUCCAGGUGCACCAUCGUGGUGGAGGCGCGACGCGUCUUUGAGAUGCUCCUCCGGCGCUAACUCGAACUGCGGGCGUCGUCGUUCGAACAACUGGGCCUCAUGUCCCCUGACCUCCGGCAGGCCAUCGUCUCUGGUUGCCAGCGCGACUCAUGGGCAGGAGUCCUCCACAAAACAUGUGCUGCAAUAAAAAUAAGAUGCACAAGUUCAUAUUUUGUAUGCUUUUCAGUUCAUCUACUUCCCAGUGGUGAGUCCGAUUUCCUUUGUGUUUUCAUCUUCUUCAUAUAGCACAAACAAGUGCUUGUGGUUCUGCUUGAGAAUGUGCACCAUGCUGUUACUUAGUUAAUCAAUUUUGUAGAAAAGUUCUCUAGGAUAUUUUUAUAAUGCUUUGGGAUUUUUGUAGAAAGUUCUCUUGCUCAAUAGUACAACUUCUUGUUUUGUGGCCGGUCGCUCAAGGAGCUGAGUGCAGGCCGCUCCUUGCUGCAAGCUGCUACUGCACCUACGUCUGUCCGGCACAGCCGCAGCCUUUCUUGUUGAUGCUGCUGCAUGCCCUCUACUACGCAGCUACCAAUUGCUGGAAUUGUUACCUCUGUUUUCUAUCUGAAGUUUAGUUCUAGUGCAGUGAUAGUGAAUGUUGAACGUUCAAUUUUUUAUGUUGAAUAAUAUACCGCUGAACACCCUACAAUUUUUUUUGCUUGAGUGCUAUUCACAGUCAGUUAUGUUUUCCUUUCAUGUUGCACAUGUAACUGAAAACCGUUGAAAUGAGAAUUUACUAUGUUUUGGAGAGCAUAAUUUCCCAAGUGGCAAAUUUGAUCUAUACUCAUAAGUGCAUGAUUAAAAUUUUAGGAUAUGUGUGGUCUCAGUAAGUACAUCGAGUACUAAUUAGCAAGUUUGAUUUCUUCUGAAAACUCGAAAUGUCAGCGUGUACUGAUGCAUUCCAAAAUUGUGUUGUGUUUUCAGGAAAAAAAUUAUGGGGUUUUUGGUGGCCAAGUAUUUUGAUAAAUUCUGAAGCAUCAGUACUUUUCUCUGUUCUUUUCUCUCUUCAAAAAUUCCCAAAGCAUCAGUACUUAUCAGGAACACCAUGUUAUUUCUGCAAAUUUCCAUUAUGCUUGUAUGUCCAAAAUAUGUACAUUUACUGCUUUUGAUUUGUUGUAGUGCAGAGAAGUUACCCUGUUGCGGGCUGACCUGCAGGCUCCUUCUCCACGUUGACACAAUUGCAUGACCAACAUGCUACUGACCACGCAAGCUUUCUCAAGGAGCUCGUGUCCAACGAUACUGAAAGGAAAAAUGGAGUGAAACUGCUACUGCUCCAGUUUUGAACUUCUUAUUCAGUCAUGCUAUUACUGAGUGAAAAAUCGAGUGAAAGUGUCUUGCAAUUGAUCUCUCUUAGACCCUGGCAAUCCUCUAUUUAUUCUUUGUUUGCUUGUUUUUUGGUCUGUAAUUCAAGAACUUUGACCUUCGUAAUUCGGUUGUUGGUUAAUUUGUUAUGCCCAGUACAAACCUUUAAAUCUGAAGAGGCUUCUAAUAGCAAGAAAAUGUGCAGUCGGUGUGGUGUCUGUCAUUCAUGUAAGAAAAUGUGCAGUCGGUGUGGUGUAUAUGUUAUUCAUGUACAUGUAUUGUGUGAAAAAAUUAUGUAUAUGAUGAGAUGAUUGCUACUUCUUCAAAGAAGGUAUA